AGCGUAGACGGAUGGACAAGUCUGAUGUGAAAGGCUGGGGCUCAACCCCAGGACUGCAUUGGAAACUGCCCGUCUUGAGUGCCGGAGAGGUAAGCGGAAUUCCUAGUGUAGCGGUGAAAUGCGUAGAUAUUAGGAGGAACACCAGUGGCGAAGGCGGCUUACUGGACGGUAACUGACGUUGAGGCUCGAAAGCGUGGGGAGCAAACA
rnacentral:rRNA from 1 species